rnacentral:rRNA from 1 species
UACGUAGGGUGCAAGCGUUGUCCGGAAUUAUUGGGCGUAAAGAGCUCGUAGGCGGUUCGUCACGUCGGCUGUGAAAUUCCGAGGCUCAACCUCGGGUCUGCAGUCGAUACGGGCGGACUUGAGUACUGCAGGGGAGACUGGAAUUCCUGGUGUAGCGGUGAAAUGCGCAGAUAUCAGGAGGAACACCGGUGGCGAAGGCGGGUCUCUGGGCAGUAACUGACGCUGAGGAGCGAAAGCGUGGGGAGCGAACAGG